GCCCUGAGACGCUGCCUACUCCUUUCUGUAAUUCCUGUGAUGUCAGUUUAUCCAUUAACGAAUCCAAAAGAAAGAGAAUCCACUUUUUUAAAUCGUAUCUCGUAAAAAUAUUUAUUUAUUGAUUGCAGUUUAUACUCAGGCAGGGCUAUCAAGUCUGGAUUGCAAAGUCCGGAUGGAAACUGAGAGAAAAACAAAACUCUCCUGACUGCCCUUUAGAGAUUUGUCCAUAUGAUGUAGCCCCAAAAGGCAAGAUGGAGACCAUGACCGUGAUUGAAAUUCCACCUGUUUUUUUUAUGUUCAGUUCACUCUGUGGAAACCCCAUCAUUCAAACCUAAUUUCAAAAAUCAAUUUCUUUGCAUUCAGAUUCUAGUAAGUGAAAUACACACAGCAGUAGAACAAAGGCAAAAAGGCAGAAUUAUGGUUCAUGUUCUAUUUUUAUGCAUUGAAAGAACAAUGGGGGGAGGGAAAUUUCAUAACGAGUUACAUAUGAUAUACUGUAGGAGUUUACAGCAUUGGAAUUUAUUAUGAAAAAUCUAUUUUUACUUUUUGGCUAGACAUCUGCUUUACUUCAAAGAAAAAGGAGUAAAUAAGUAUCUUAAAGCCUAUUGAAAGAGCAAAAGUUUUGAAAAGUUUGUUUUUCCCCAUUUUUUCCUAUUUAAAAAUAAUUAAUGAUUCUGUAGAAUCUCAAUAUCUGGUCUCCUGAAUUUUAGGCAGGAAUAUUAUGCUUUGUUGCUCAAGGAUAAUAAAAUAUGGGAAUUCAUAUAAAUAAAAAAUAAUCUGAAGUCCCAGAUUAUUUCAAACCAAAGUUUUUUUAUUUUCUCAGAAGAAACCAGUAAUAGUUACAUCGUAUGCAAAAAGAGGUGUGGAAGGUAAUUUCAGAAAUCCAACCAUUUUAAAAUCAUUUAGAUCAGGGCUGUCCCACCUUGGCAACUUUAAGAUCUGUGGACUUAUAAUUCCCGAAAUUCCCCAACCACAGGUCUUAAAGUUGCCAAAGUUGAACACCCCUGAUUUAGACUAUGAAUGCUUCUUCUAGUUCCAUGCCCUAUGCCCUUGUCUUUUGUUUUCUUUACACUUCUCACCUCUUUCUUUUUGAGGAGCUCCUCAGCUCUCUGACACCACAAUUUGCUUGGGUUUGUUUUGUUACCUCUCUCUUGACCCACUCAUUCUUCCUAUAUGUACUUCUUUUCCAGUUUGAUGUUCAAGUCUUUUCUCAACAUGCUCACACUACAGUACCUUGGCAUCCAUUCAUUUUUGACCCUGCCUUCUUCUUUCAUCACACAUGAACUUUUUAAGUACUCCAAUCACACUGCAGUCAACUUACUUCUGUGUUUCACCUGACAUUGUAACGCUUAGUUUCAUGUAAUAAAGUGAACAAAAGUACAAAGUUAAUACACAGCUUUUUUUUUCAUUUCAGCAAAUGUUCUUUCCUCACAAGUGACCAUAUAUUAUUACUUUGUUCUUAGCAGCUUUCAUAUCAUCUUUCCAAUUUGUUCACUUUCUGUUUAUUCUGUUGGGAGAUUAAUCUGUCUUCAAAUACCAUUUUGUAAAAGAUGUAUACUUUCUCUUCUUAUAGUUAUUCUAUUUUCACUCUCAUUUCUUUCACUUCUAUUUUUCUUCCAUGUCCAUUUUCCAAAAUUGGCUCUUGACAACAUCCCAACAAUUUAUGCACCCCAAAUUUGGAACCUCUCAUCAUUGUAUCACUCAUUAAAUCUUUUACUCUUUCAGCAUAAACCCUAAACCUGAUCAAGUUUUCAGUUUUUAAUUCUUUAUCUUUGCCAUUGUAUGUAUGAAUAGACUUAUACAAACUAAGCAAUGUAUCUGUAAUGAAUGUAAAUUUAAAAUCAUUACUCUUGAAUCACUAUUCUAAUUCAAUCCUGUGUGUCUAAGUAACCCAAUUGUCUUUUAUUUUUUCUCCUCAUUUUCAUCUGAAUUUCAUAUUCAGAAUGUAGCAUUUUCCUGAAAUUAUUACUAUUAAUUGAAGCACAUACAUACACAAAGCUAUCCUCAACCUAUAGAUUCCAACUUUCACACAUAACCACAACAACCUAAAUAACACCGAUUCAGACUUUCUGACAGAAAUUUUCCUCCAGGAAGUCUUGGAAUAGAGGGCUAACCUGGAACAUUAAAAAAA